rnacentral:lncRNA from 1 species
GCCCAGCCAGUCCAACCCCACUUUAAAGAUUCUCAUCUGCCAAGUGGGGCCAGAGAGCCUAGCAUCCAAGGAUAGAGAGGAAAUCUUCUGGAGAACCUCAACAAGGUGAAACAAGGUAUGUAGAUCUCAUUAAAUGAUUAUCUUGUGUACUUGUGUCUUGUGUGCAUGGGCUUUGUCUGCU